AACGUGGGUGGCGAGCGUUAUCCGGAUUUACUGGGCGUAAAGGGUGUGCAGGCUGCCCCUCAAGUGGUGUAUGAAAGGGCUCGGCUCAACCGGGCUAGGUUAUGCCAGACUGAGGGGCUAGAGAGCGAGAGCGGGACGUGGAAUUCCGGGUGUAGUGGUGAAAUGCGUAGAGAUCCGGAGGAACCCCAGAGGCGAAGGCGGCGUCCUGGCUCGCAUCUGACGCUCAGACACGACAGCAUGGGGAGCGAACGGG
rnacentral:rRNA from 1 species